rnacentral:misc_RNA from 1 species
CAUACUUCAAGCUUCUGCUUGGUGUUGAAUGGUUAUCGCUUGUCGAUUCAUUCGAAACUCAUUGGCAAUUGUCUCUAUGGUCAACAGCGUGACAGAAAUCCCGUUGUAAAUCUGGAGAUCAGUUAGCCGGUACACCCAACAUAUGAAU